UCCGGCUUAUCACCGGCAGUUUCCUCAGAGUGCUCAGCCUAACCUGUUAGCAACAGAGGACGAGGGUUGCGCUCGUUGCGGGACUUAACCCAACAUCUCACGACACGAGCUGACGACAGCCAUGCAGCACCUGUGUUCUCUCCGGCCGAACCGAAGGACUCCUUUUCGGGAGUCCGCGAGAGACAUGUCAAAUCCUGGUAAGGUUCUUCGCGUUGCCUCGAAUUAAACCACAUGUUCCACCGCUUGUGCGGGUCCCCGUCAAUUUCUUUGAGUUUUAAUCUUGCGACCGUACUCCCCAGGCGGGAUGCUUAACGCGUUAGCUGCGCCACUGAGGGGUAACCCCCCAACGGCUAGCAUCCAUCGUUUACAGCGUGGACUAC
rnacentral:misc_RNA from 1 species